UGGGGAAUUUUGGACAAUGGGGGAAACCCUGAUCCAGCCAUCCCGCGUGUGCGAUGAAGGCCUUCGGGUUGUAAAGCACUUUUGGCAGGAAAGAAACGUCGCGGGUUAAUACCCCGCGAAACUGACGGUACCUGCAGAAUAAGCACCGGCUAACUACGUGCCAGCAGCCGCGGUAAUACGUAGGGUGCAAGCGUUAAUCGGAAUUACUGGGCGUAAAGCGUGCGCAGGCGGUUCGGAAAGAAAGAUGUGAAAUCCCAGAGCUUAACUUUGGAACUGCAUUUUUAACUACCGGGCUAGAGUGUGUCAGAGGGAGGUGGAAUUCCGCGUGUAGCAGUGAAAUGCGUAGAUAUGCGGAGGAACACCGAUGGCGAAGGCAGCCUCCUGGGAUAACACUGACGCUCAUGCACGAAAGCGUGGGGAGCAAACAGGAUUAGAUACCCUGGUAGUCCACGCCCUAAACGAUGUCAACUAGCUGUUGGGGGCCUUCGGGCCUUGGUAGCGCAGCUAACGCGUGAAGUUGACCGCCUGGGGAGUACGGUCGCAAGAUUAAAACUUAAAGGAAUUGACGGGGGUGCAUAGCU
rnacentral:rRNA from 1 species